UCGCUCCGUGCUAUAUAGCUUCAGUCUCACACAACUAUUCAAAAGUUCAACAUCUAAAUUUCCAUCAAAUUUAAUUCUGCCAAAAUGUUCAUCGGUCCAGUCCAAAAAGAACAUCUGCACAACAUGAUCCUAGGCUGUGGCUGGCCUUGCGGGUCGUUGAGCGGUCCCUGCUGCUGCAGCGGUUGCUGCGGCAGUUGUUGUGGAAGCUGUUGCGGUGGGUGCUGCGGCGGCUGCUAACAUUGAAUGAGGGGGACUAGGACUACACAAGGAUCGAUGUCAACUGAUGUGCAGAAACAUAUAAAAUACAUUCACCAUCCGUUGUUUAAUAAGAAGUGAGGCUGAAAAUCGACCAACAUUUGAGAAACCGAAGUUGUAAUACCUGUGAGCUAAGGAAUGGAGUUUAUUGCUGCAGAUCCCUAAAAAAA